CAGAGGUAGGACUCGAUAGCAGGAAUGCCUAGAGGAAAUGACCUGGGACAAGUGCUGUGGAAGACCUGCUACCUUCCCCUUCUUAUUCUUGGAGAAAUGCUAAGGAAACUUGGGGUGUUUAUCUUGAUAAGAAAAAAAGAAACAGAUCCUGCAGCUCCAAGGAGAGAAAAGGCCAUCAAAGCUUACUCUGUCCAAAGGCCUACUGGUGUACAUUCGAUGCCAGCUGGGGCCAGGUGAGCCCUGUCCACAGAACAAGCAUGUUAGGAAGGAAGAGAAGCAGAAUAUGGCAGUAAACAUAAAUAUUGGGUGCCCCCACAGCCAAGAAGGCAGAGCUUAAUAGCCAAAAGGUGGGAACCCAAAUGUCCAUCAACAGAUAAUGAACUAAAAAAAAGUGGUUAUGUCCAUACAAUGGAAUGUUAUUCAGCCACAAAAAGGAAUGAAGUACUGAUACUUGCUACCGCCUAGAUACACCUCAAAAACAUUAGGGUGAGUCAAACAAGUGAGAAGCCAAAAGUCACAUAUUGUAUAAUUCUGUCUAUGUGAAAUGUCCAGAAUAGAGAAAUCCACAGAGAUAGAAGGCAGAUUGGCAGUUGUCAGGGGCUGGUGGGAAAGGGAAUGAAGAAUGACUAUUGAUUGACGGGUAUGGGGUUCCCUUUUGGGGUGACAAAACAUUCUAGAACUCCACAGGUAGUGGUUGCGCAACAUUAUGAAUGUGCUAAAUGUCACUGAGGUAUUCAGUUUAAAAUGGUCAGUUAUGGAUUACAUGACUUUCACCUCAAUUUUAAAAAAUAUAUUUUUAAAGAUUUUAUUUAUUCAUGAGAGAGGCAGAGACAGAGGCAGAGGGAGAAGCAGGCUCCCUCUGAGGAGCCUGAUGUGGGACUCAAUCCCAGGACUCCAGGAUCAUGCCCCGAGCUGAAGGCAGAUGUUCAACCUCUCAGCCACCCAGGAGUCCCCCAACAACAAAAACAACAAAAAAAUUUUUUUAAGGCAGAGCUUAAAAACAGGGCAAUGCCAGGAAAACCAAGGGGCUGGAAAGCAGUGAGUCAGCUAUAAGGGAGCAGGAGAGAGUCAGAGGCCUCCCACAGCCCCUCCUGUUACUGCCUAGUUAGCACCUGUCCGAGAGCUCUUGUUUGUUGACUUAGAGAAGGCUCACCUCCACUUAAAAGGCCAGGGGCAGGGACAUCUGGGUGGCUCAGGGGUUGAGCAUCUGCCUUUGGCCCAGGGUGUGGUCCUGGAGACCCAGGAUUGAGUCCCACAUCAGGCUUCCUGCAUGGAGCCUGCUUCUCCCUGUGCCUAUGUCUCUGCCCCUGUGUGUGUGUGUGUGUGUGUGUCUCUCAUGAAUAAAUACAUUUAAAAUCUUUAAAAAAAAAAAAAAAAAAAAAAA
rnacentral:lncRNA from 1 species